CACAGAUGUUCCUUCUCCCUGACCCGGCUCUGCGUUCUCUUCUGUCUCAUACACUCGUUGGGUUCAUCGCUUCAAGAGGUAAUAGCUUCACAAGAUCAGGGGAUGCAGCUUUCAUUCACCCAUGUAUAAUAGGAUGUUUGAUGCCUACCAAGCACUCAAAUAAAUAUUGAAACCUUUCCGAAAACUUCAGAGCAAGAUAGAGCCCUUUCUUUUCGUAGCUCGGAGCAACUUUCCUGUCAACCGCCCAUCUGACCUCGGUCACUGGAACGCUGUGGAACUGGCCUCCACAGUUCUAGGAGCGAGGAGCCCAGCCGACGCCCCGGGGGUGGGACAGAGCCCAGGCGCCAGACAGGGUCCCCGGCCUGCUAAUGCGCUGGACACACAGAGCCCUGUUCUGUAACCUUCCUCUAGGUUGGGGGAUCCCUGUCACAAGGAGAAGAGAGCUAGCAUCCCAGCUGCAAGUCUCUUGUUCAAGGUUCUUGCUGCAGCCAGCAGUGUCCUUGGAGUCUAGUUCAAAGCUGGAGAGAGUGAACUGUGGAGCCAUGAGCCAUUGGUGGAGGGGCUGGCCUGAAGGAAGUGAAGUGUUUCAGCCAGAAUGUACUGACGCACGACCAGGAAACCACAAGACUGGUGAAAACCUUUCCAAGCCCGAGUCCUAUGAUCAAAAGAGGUACAGGAAGCAGCUCUGCCAAGAGUCCUUUCUGCUGCUGGCUGGAACUCUGAGCUUCUGAGGCUCUCUGAGUCAACUCCCUGAGCAGAUGCUGUCACCCAAGGAGCCAUCACUAAAAUAUUUUCUUAUUUACUCAGAGGUGGCUCCCACAGACUUGAAAUCCGCGUGACAAUUCAGAAGGAAUGGUGCCUCCAUGAUACUUGUUCCCUGAAUGCUCUUCGUGUGACCUAUGUGUCAGAUCUAUUGGACUUGAAGAUGGCUUCUCAAGAGGAUUCAGAAGAUGCUGCUGAACUGCAGUGCACACACAAGGACUCGAGGUAGUUCUGGGCUUCCAGGAGGAACGACUCCAUCAUGUCCACCAGUUCCACGCUGUUGAAAACCGGCAGCAAGACGUGCUUGCUGACCCGUCCUAUCCCGGAGCCGCAGUCCAGGGCGCAGUCCGUUCCGGCUCCCCCGGGCCCCUGCACAGAGGUACAGACAGCCACUUGAGUCUCAGACACUCCAGUUACCGCUUCAGAUCUACGUUACUUAGGUGUUAUUUUGGUGGGGAGCAAACUGCUGCUAAACAAUUAGAAGUAAGAACUGGAAAGGAAGCGCCGAAGCCCUAAAGAGAGCUUGCUCGUUCGGGAGCAUGCAGUGGGACUGAGUAACAGAUCAUGGCUGAUUCACAGCAAAUCCAUCAUCUCUGGUAGAAAAACAACUCCGAGAUUUACUGAGGAGGAUGUGCAACGUGAGCUAAAAUUCAUUUGAAAAGUGAGAAGAUGACUGCACUACUAGCCAGUGGAUAUGGAUUCUUCGGACCACAGUGGCUAUUUGAUGACAUUCCAAAGGCAGUCACAAGGUAAG